CACAAAACACAAGUGUUAAGAUUUGCUGGAGAUGGAACCCACUUGUGGCAGAACAUGGCUUUAUCAGAACUCAGGAGACCCUUCUAAUGGAAGCUGCUCUACCAGCACAAUCACUUCGCAGACCUUAAUCCAAAUUUCUGCAAUAAAUGGAAAGAGUCAAGAUUCUGCGUUUUAUAACCAAUUCCUCAGUGCAAGUAUGCUGCAUGACUUCAAGUAGAGCACUAGUUACCACACCUGCUCAACUGUUAAGGUCACAGGAUAAAAAUGACUGACUCCAGGGGGAUUUGCUGCUUGAGUCUUCUGGCCAUUAAGCUAAGAUGGAGGAGGCUGCUCCUUCCUCUGGGUCACUGGUGUUAAAUCCACAGAAAUUUGAAUUGGUACACAUUACAGAAUCUCACACCUUGCCAGCCUACUGAGCUCACGAGGGUUGAUGGCUCAUCUUAGGAGGUGAGCGGUCAGAUAGGAGGAGGAGAAGGUUCACUGUCAGAGCAAUCAACAUCUGGAGCAGUUUUUUAUUGAGAGAUGUGUGAGCAAGACUCAGGGCUAUAAGGGCAAUCUUGGUAAGGAUAGGAGAGGGACUGCCCACAUUUCCCAUGACAGAGGGCUGUACAGGACAGGAAUCCUGAUCUUCCGUGUUACUGACGUGGCAUCCUCUGAGCACUGCAGUCCAGGCGCAAUCAUCAAUGCCUGCCCAGCAGGUCUGUACUUUGCCACCUGCCUUCAAAUGAAGGGUCACCCUGGUCCUGCCCAGUAUGAUAAUGCAACACAGAAAAAAGUUGAUUUUUAAUUCUCGAAGCUGCCUCAACUCACAAGAUUUUUCUCUCUUAUCCAGCACACUUAAUUACACUGAAGAAGUCCCUUUUAGCAAAACCACACUGCAGGCAUUAGACCCAUCUGUGCAAUCACCCAGCAGUUCUCUGCAUCUAUCGCCCUUCAUCUCUGUCAUGGCGCAGCCUAGUCCAGAGCAGCUCCCACUGGGAAACACCGGUCCUGGAAGAUGGGUAUGGGAGCCUUGGGGAAAUUUCCCUGGCCUCCUCAAGAGCUUCUCUCAUCCCAUGGAUCUUCUCUAGCAGAGCGUGGGAGCUAAUAAUACCCCUCUGCUGCUGUUCCAUAGCAUUUCCUCCUCUUUAUUUUAACUUCUACUGGUCACAUUACCAGCUGCUCCUUUGCCUCUGCCGCAUAACUGAAUGUCAAAAGAAACCAUAAAUCAGCUUACGGCAUUCAUUGAAUGGUGAAAUUGGUGCUUUCUCCCCUUCUGAAGGACUAGAAUUUUAAUUUCAGCUUCUAAAUAUACUUUAAAAUUUUAUUAUUUUAAUUAACAUUUAAAAAAAAAGAUUUUUAAGAGACAACACAAAUCCAGCUUGCCUUGGAGAAGGCAUGUACUGAGAUUUCCUCAAGAGUCACAGCCACUGAUCAGCACAAGAGGAACAAAGACACAGAUCCCAACCAGGGAUGCACUGGGGACCACAGCCCUGUAUGUGACAUGCAAAACCCUUCCAGAGUGAAAACAUGCUUAUUGGGAGCUCGAGCUAAUGAGUGGGAUGGGCACAGGCAUACUGGGACAAAACCUUGAGUCAAAUCCUCUGUGUAUCUCACCCUGACACUCCCCCUGUAUCCCAAAUCCCCACCUUUUUUAAUUAUUUUUUUUUGUUAGAGACUAAAAACAGCACACAGCUCACAGGUAUGGGAAGCAACGUUCUGUGCCCACUGCAUCCGUGUCUGACCAGAGUCCAAAGCCAAGAAUCCUCAACACAAGACAGCCGUCAGGGAAACGAGGAAUUUCCAAACAACCUUUGCGAUCUGCUGUAUGUUUUUCUUUCAAUGGCUAUUUCUAAUAAAACAUGUAUCAAUGCAGGUAUUUUUUGCUUCCUAAGUGCAGCAUCACACAUUAAAACGGAACGAAGUAUAUGAUUAUGACUGUAUGAUAUAACAAUUUAUUGCUACCAGAUUGACAAAUAGCUGUUAUCUUAAUAUUUAUAUUAAAAUCAUUUGUCUAGA